UCCCUGGUGGUCCAGCGGUUAAAACUCUGCACUCCCAAUGCAGGAGGCCUGGGUUCAAUCCCUGGUCAGGGAA
rnacentral:tRNA from 1 species